rnacentral:rRNA from 1 species
CCUACGGGUGGCAGCAGUGAGGAAUAUUGGUCAAUGGGCGCGAGCCUGAACCAGCCAAGUAGCGUGAAGGAUGACUGCCCUACGGGUGGUAAACUUCUUUUAUAAAGGAAUAAAGUGCGGCACGUGUGCCUUUUGGUAUGUCUUUUAUGACUACGGCUCGGCUAACUCCGGGCCAGCAGCCGCGGUAAUACGGAGGAGCCGAGCGUUAUCCGGAUUUAUUGGGUUUAAAGGGAGCGUAGAUGGGUUGUUAAGUCAGUUGUGAAAGUUUGCGGCUCAACCGUAAAAUUGCAAUUGAUACUGGCAGCCUUGAGUACAGUUGAGGUAGGCGGAAUUCGUGGUGUAGCGGUGAAAUGCUUAGAUAUCACGAAGAACUCCGAUUGCGAAGGCAGCCUACUAAACUGCCACUGACAUUGAUGCUCGAAAGUGUGGGUAUCAAACAGGAUUAGAUACCCGGGUAGUC